UGGGGAAUUUUGCACAAUGAGGAAACUCUGAUGCAGCGACGCCGCGUGAGUGAUGAAGAUCUUCGGAUUGUAAAACUCUGUCCUUAGUGAAGAUAAUGACAGUAACUAAGAAGCAAGCCCUGGCUAAAUACGUGCCAGCAGCCGCGGUAAUACGUAUGGGGCAAGCGUUGUCCGGAAUUAUUGGGCGUAAAGGGUACGUAGGCGGUUUAAUAAGUCCUAAUUAAAAGGCUAUGGCUCAACCAUAGUAUGGUUAGGAAACUGUUGAACUUGAGUAGAUGAGGGGAAAGUGGAAUUCCAUGUGUAGCGGUGAAAUGCGUAGAUAUAUGGAGGAACACCAAUGGCGAAGGCAACUUUCUGGGAUCAAACUGACGCUGAGGUACGAAGGCGUGGGGAGCAAACAGG
rnacentral:rRNA from 1 species